rnacentral:rRNA from 1 species
GAUGAACGCUGGCGGCGUGCCUAAUACAUGCAAGUCGAGCGAACGGACGAGAAGCUUGCUUCUCUGAUGUUAGCGGCGGACGGGUGAGUAACACGUGGAUAACCUACCUAUAAGACUGGGAUAACUUCGGGAAACCGGAGCUAAUACCGGAUGAUCUUUUGAACUGCAUGGUUCAAAAGUGAAAGACGGUCUUGCUGUCACUUAUAGAUGGAUCCGCGCUGCAUUAGCUAGUUGGUAAGGUAACGGCUUACCAAGGCAACGAUGCAUAGCCGACCUGAGAGGGUGAUCGGCCACACUGGAACUGAGACACGGUCCAGACUCCUACGGGAGGCAGCAGUAGGGAAUCUUCCGCAAUGGGCGAAAGCCUGACGGAGCAACGCCGCGUGAGUGAUGAAGGUCUUCGGAUCGUAAAACUCUGUUAUUAGGGAAGAACAUAUGUGUAAGUAACUGUGCACAUCUUGACGGUACCUAAUCAGAAAGCCACGGCUAACUACGUG